rnacentral:lncRNA from 1 species
GUUGAGGCAGGCAGAUCACGAGGUCAGAAGUUCGAGACCAACCUGACCAACGUGGUGAAACCCCGUCUCUACUAAAAAUACAAAAAUUAGCCAGGCGUGGUGGCACGUGCCUGUAAUCCCAGCUACUCAGGAGGCUGAGGCAGGAGAAUUGCUUGAACCCGGGAGACAGAGGUUGCAGUGAGCCACGAUCGCGCCACUGCACUCCAGCCUGGGCGACAGCAAGACUCUGUCUCAAAAAAAAAAAAAGAAACUUCCUAUAAUUAAGCCCACUAUUUAAUAUAUUUUCAUUCCAAAUUUUAGUUUCAGAUUUUAAAGGAAAUAAAUACCACAUUAGUGAAUUUUAUCUUUGCCGAUUAUUUUUCAUAAUAAAAGUAGCUUUAUUUUUACAUGUCAUUUUGUACCUUUUAAAGUACUUUCACAUGUUAUUUUAUCCUUUUUAAAUUCUAAAUUUGUGAUUUACAUAGUUGCACUGCUGGUUCUUGUUUUAGAAUCUUACCGUUACUCAGUGUAUUUGUGCAUCUAAAGAUCCUACAGCGCAUUUUAAAGAUCAUUAUAAAGACAGGAAAUUGUACUAAACUGCGAUAAACACAACAUCUCAAGUAGUUUUCUCAUUUUAAUAACCUUUAUCCUUAUUCUUUUCUAUUUUUGCCUAAAACUUUUAUUAGAUUCAGACUGCUAAUGUCAUUUCAUUAUAUUGAAUUUAUUAAUCCUUUCCUUUUUAGCCAUAUACUCUUAUUGUAUAAAUACAGAGCAAAAUGAAAAGUGUGGGCAUAGGAUUUUUUAUGGAAGGAUAAAAUUUGAGAGUUAAGCUAAUUCCUGUUCUGGAAUAGUCUCUAUAAUGUGCUGGAUGGGAAGUUAUCAGGUCUGAUAUUUUCUGUGUGCCUCUUAGAUCAACUCCUUCCUCUUUCAGAUAAUUAAUUCUUCAUUUUGAAAACUUAAUUCUCCUUCUAGUUUGUAUACCGUUAUUUUCCAUAAAUUUUCAUAGCAAUUUGAUGAUAACUUCCUAUACCAUACAUUUAAGGCUAUAAAAAAAAUUACAGUAUUUAAAACAGUUUAAUUCUGUAAUGAUAACAGGCAGACCAGUGACUAGAAUACAUUCAAGCAUCUGGAAAUUUAGAAUAUAACAAAGGAGAUAUUUCAAAUAAGUAGGAAAACAAAUUAUUUAGUAGAAAAAAAAUGGAUAAAACUGGUUAGUGAUUUG